GCCGUUCUGGGCGGGGAGGCGCCUUACUUGUCCUCACGGACUUGGCCCCUAACAGUGCGGGACUACAAGCCCCAGAGUCCCUUGCGACCUCCGUAGUCAAUUUGCCGGUGGAAUAGGCCCAUGAUGACAGCUGGAGAAUGGAGUCAGUUUUACCCAAGUAUGAAAACCAGAUUACUAUUUUUGCUGACUACCUAGAAGAAUUUCCAGAUACUGAUGAGCUGGUAUGGAUCCUGGGGAAGCAGCAUCUCCUUAAAACAGAAAAAUCUAAGCUGUUGUCUGAUAUAAGCGCUCGUCUAUGGUUUACAUACAGAAGGAAAUUUUCACCAAUUGGAGGAACAGGCCCUUCAUCAGAUGCUGGCUGGGGAUGUAUGCUGCGCUGUGGACAGAUGAUGCUGGCUCAAGCUCUUAUCUGUAGACACUUGGGAAGGGACUGGAACUGGGAGAAACAAAAAGAACAACCCAAAGAGUAUCAACGGAUCCUACAGUGCUUCUUAGAUAGAAAAGACUGUUGCUAUUCUAUCCAUCAAAUGGCACAAAUGGGUGUAGGAGAAGGGAAAUCAAUUGGCGAAUGGUUUGGACCAAAUACAGUUGCACAGGUGUUAAAAAAACUUGCUUUAUUUGAUGAAUGGAAUUCCUUGGCUGUUUAUGUUUCAAUGGAUAACACAGUGGUCAUUGAAGAUAUCAAAAAAAUGUGCCGAGUCCUUCCCUUUAGUGCUGAUACAGCUGACAAAAGCUCCCCUGAUUCUUUUAUCACUUCAAACCAGAGUAAAGAUACCUCUGCCUUCUGCCCAGCCUGGAAACCCCUGCUGCUCAUUGUGCCCCUUCGCCUGGGCAUAAACCAAAUCAAUCCUGUGUAUGUUGAUGCAUUCAAAGAGUGUUUUAAGAUGCCACAGUCUUUAGGGGCAUUAGGAGGAAAACCAAAUAACGCCUAUUAUUUCAUAGGAUUCUUAGGUGAUGAGCUCAUCUUCUUGGACCCUCACACAACCCAGACUUUUGUUGACACUGAAGAAAAUGGAACAGUCAAUGACCAGACUUUUCAUUGCCUGCAGUCUCCACAGCAGAUGAACAUAUUGAACUUAGAUCCUUCUGUAGCAUUGGGAUUUUUCUGCAAAGAGGAAAAGGACUUUGAUAACUGGUGUAGCCUUGUUCAGAAGGAAAUUCUGAAGGAGAAUUUAAGGAUGUUUGAAUUAGUUCAGAAACAUCCACCACACUGGCCUCCCUUUGUACCUCCAACAAAACCAGAGGUGACAACCACUGGGGCAGUUCCAUGCAUCUGAGUUAUGGCCAUGCUACAAGAGAUUGAUUUUCCAAGUCCAAAGCCAUGUGAUCCUGUGACUCACCUGGAGAUCCACGGAGACCUUGUUGACCUGGAAACCCAUCUAUUCCUUUCUCUCCUGGGGGACCUUGAGGUCCAGGAAGUCCUGGCAACCCAAUUCCUGGAGGACCAGUUGGACCAGAAUGACCUUUUCCACCAGGAAGUCCUGGUAGUCCCUUUUCUCCUGGGAAUCCCUUUCCACCAUCACCCUAGAAAGUAAUAAAAAACAAAGCACAUUUCAGAGAAUUAUCUGGAGUUCUAUUACUAUAGAAAAGAGGUAACCAGUAUGACUAAUGAUUCAUAAUUUGUUAAAAUCCUCUAUCACUUUAGUUUAUUAGUCUUCUCUGAGUUCAAUUAGUGGGAAUGAGUCUUGUCAAUUAUGGGUCAUCUGAUAUUUCAGAUGGAGGUGGGAAAGAAUUAAGCAGGAUAACAAUAACCUUUGAAGUCACAGAAGAAGUUGAGUUGCUUGAAUGGGAAAGCCAUUGAGAAGCUGAAGCAUUUUUAAGUGAUAUAGUGAAUUGUUGCUAGCAUUUAUCAAAUAAAGUAAUGGCUAUUCCCAGAAAAUAAUUCCCACUUUAUAGAAAAGCACAAAGUCAAAAGUGUCAGUGACAGAGGCAGGAACAGAUACUGUGAAUUCUUUAUUUUGUCCGUCUCAUGGUCUAGUUGCCAUCAGACAGGUCAGAUUUGAAUAUGUACAGUGCUAAUCAUGUGGGAUCAAUCCACUUACUUGAAGACCUGGCAGACCCGGUAAACCUGAUAUUCCAUCUUUUCCUGGGGCUCCUUUUAUUCCAGGGAAACCUUGGAGGCCACGAUCACCUUUCUCCCCUGGCAUCCCUGAUUCCAUACUGAAUGUUGGUUCACCCUUCUUUCCUUUAACACCUGGAAGGCCUUGAGGUCCAAAUGAACCCUGACAAAGAGACAAAGAAGAAAACUCAGAAGAUACAGACUUCAUAAGAUUCUGGAAUGUGGGAAAGGAGAAAAGGGAGUGCAUUGAAAUUGCAGCAGAGAUCCUUUGAGAUUGAACUGAAGAAAACGGGAGGUAGUCACCACGACCUAGGGAAUCCCAAAGUGGCCGAGAAGAUCAUAAAAUAUUUUCUUAAAAAUUUAGAGUCCAAAACCAAUUUGAAUGAACUGGACUGUAGAGGGCAGCAUGGUAUGGGUAAAAAUCCUGAACUGGCAGAGCUGAAUAUCAGUUUCACAUCCCCUAGUGAAAAUCCUGUCAGCUUCUUCUUCAAAACACAUUUUGUGAUUCAAGAUACACCAAUAAAAUGUAAUGUAUUGGUA